CAGCAAGAAGGCCCUCACCAGAUGCUAGCACCUUGAUAUUGUACUUCUCAGCCUCCAGAGCUGUCAGUCAAUAAAUUUAUCUUCAUUAUAAAUUACCCAGUCUUAGGUAUUCUAUUGUAGCAGCAGAAAACAGACUAAGACAAAGGGGAAAAAAGGCUGGAAGUAUAUUGGGAUUGGUGAUGAGAGAGGGAUUAUGGAAAAAACAGUAAAGCAUCUCCUUCCUCAAAGUGUUUUAUCCAGAAUUUCACCUGCUUUCAUCAAGACUGUGAAAAUAGUUUUUGAGUACAGAUUGGUAUGUGAAGAAAUUCUAAAUCAGAAAGUGAUUUUCUAAGGAGUACAUACACAAUAAUUUUAAUUCUUUAAAUUGCCCAGGACAACUGAGGAUUGCAUUCACCAACAUUAUAAAUUUUCACUGGGAGUCUACAGAGUACUCAAAGAAAUGGAAAAGCAAAUCAUCUGGUAAUACUUUGUUGGUAACCAUCUGACAAGCUCAGUACACAGAGAAGAUGGCUGGGAAGGCAUAAGAGGUCACUGGGAUUCACCUCUACCUAGUCAUCCUAUGAUGAGCCAUAUAGAACUAUCAUGAAAAUAAACCCAUCCUCCAGAAUUUACCAUUCAAUAACUUUAUGCAAUGGAAAUUUUCAAGGCAGAUCUUCAUUGGAUUAAUGAAGAGGACCUCUGUGUGCCUCAAGAAAUGGAGAAUGGGUUGCAAAGUGCUUCCCACAGCACUGCCCUGGAGCAGAGAGGGUACAGAUUACAGGGAGACAAGAUAGCGAGCAGCGAACACUGCACAGGUAUAAAAACCCCACUCCUAGGAAAACAAGCAGCUACAGCAGGCAUUUUGCUGAACAUGUUGUCGGGGAGAAAUACAGCUGAUAAAGAAGCAGAUGCUGAUGGAAAGGCUGCCCAUGCUCGGGAACUGACAAUAACAGCUCUGGUAUGAAGAGGUGAUCUGUAACACACAGACUAUAGAGAACGUGAACAGAAAAAAAAUCAAUAAGCCAGUUCAAUACAAGAAGAGAAGUCAACCAGAACAGGACAGAAACCAUUACCUUAGCCACACCUGGAACCACACUGGGUAUGCCCUGGAGUUUUGAAUAUUUAUUGAUAGUUAAGUUCAUUGUACAACCUGUAGGGUAAGGAAGGAGCAGUGUGCUUGUCAUGUUACAAAAGUCCAUGAAGACCUAAGGGCCUGCAGGACAUUCAGCCACUUUUUACGGAGAGUCUACUAAAUUGUGUUUUAUCCCCCCUCAAAAGCUGGCAUGAGAUAUGCCUCCAGCUUCAAGCAAAACAACUCUGCCACUUUAGCAACUGCAGAUUCGAAAGAGCUUGAUAUAGGAACCAAAGGCAACCUAAUGGUGGAUCCAACACCUGUUUAAAUGGAGCAUUCCUUCUUGACUGGUGGCAAAUCCACACAAUCAUUUCUUAUGAGAACAAAGAUGUCCUGAGCAAGGGUGAGCUGCAGUUCUGCUUAUUGACAGAGCAAGCCCAGAUUUGAAAUAUAAGGAUAGGCUUUUCGGUAUAAAUUACUGUACACCUCCAUAGGUGUAUGCUUUCCCUCACACUGCCCUUCUAGCAUCUCCUGGUAUUUUCUGUACCCAUCCUUGCUCUUAGAGGAAAACAGGCACAACAUCUACAUGGAUUAUCUUUAAAAAAUAAAAAAGUCAAAGCAGAAGAAAGAACAAUAAUCCAUAGAUAGUUGUGAGUGGCAUGAGAAUGUGUCACGUAAAGGUAGCAUGGAAUAAACAGAUAAGUGGGAGAGUAGGAUAAUGGAUGGUGAAUGUUCAGGAUCAGAGAGAGAAAGAACGAGAGAGAGAGACAGAGAGAUAGAUCUUGAAUAAAAGACUGAGAAGCUCCUAGGAAUUUCAGGCUAAACAGUAGAAUAGGAGGAGGAUGAUUUAAGAUGAGUUCCUGUGUACUAAGUAUCUCAUCCUUCAAAUUUUGAGACAGACUCAAAUAAAGACCAGAAGUCUUGACUGGGCCACAUAUAUCCAAAUGCAACAUGUAUUUAAAUGUUUAUGGAUGUUUCCAUUAGGGUCUGAGAGCAUUGAGCAUUGGGAUAUAAUAACAAAAGCACAAUUCUAGUCCCAGUCUUCCUGCUCUAGACCUGGCUCUGACAUCGACAUAUCUUGGGCAAGUUACUCAGUUCUCUGGCCUUCAGUUUAUUCAUUUGUAAAAUGACCAGUCUCGCUGGAUGAUCAGUGCAGAAUUGUAGUCCCUUACUACUCUAAAAUCCAUAUUACAUUCAUAGUAGAAUACCUUUGUAAUGCUGAUAUGAGGAAAUGGAUUUACUAAUAGGAAGUGCUCUGGCCAGAUUUUAUUAUUUGAAGUAAUGCAUCAUGGAUAUAGCCAGAUAUGGGCGAUAAUAAGAUAGAUACAAAUAUGGUUUUGUUGUACCCUCUUCUAACCAGUAUUUCAAGCUUAAAUAAAAAUGUAACUAAUGAAUGAAAAAAUAGUGAAUUUAAUUUAUAUUACUUUGAAAUGUAUAUUGUAGCCAAUUUUAAGGGGUAGUAUGUAAAACAUAUACACACGCAUACAUAUACACACAUAUGUCCGGAAUUUGUUGCCUCAAAAACAGAACUCUAGGUAAGCAUUCACACAGAUCCCCUCCAGUCACUCCAAAGGCACUGACUGCUCUCCACCAUCCACAAAUUUUGCCAUUCCACACAGAAGGAGGGAGACAGAUUCAAAC
ensembl:lncRNA